UAACAAAUAGCUUAUUUUUAAAGCAUGGUGCUGAAGACGCUAAAAAGAUUUUUAUCUUUGUUAA
rnacentral:tRNA from 1 species